UGAGUGUAUAGCUAUUCGUAUAUCAUGAAAGACGAGAGGUUGUUUUUAGUAAAGACGUAGGGUUACGUUUUAUUUUAUUACCUACUACCACCACAGCCAUUGAAUAAAAACGACAUUCAAUGGUGAUCCUACGAAUGAAGUGCUGUUAAAUUUACAAUUGUAAGAACCAUAUAGUUCAUAAGAACGAUAUUUUAAGCUGGUAUCAUUGAAUAAAAACCAUAUUAUUCAAUGCUGGUAUAUUCUAGUCUAAAACGGUUGCCUCGCCCACUUCAGUUUGGUUGCGGAGCGAGAGGGGAACUUACCGCUUCUGACGUAAUCGAGCCUGUUUAAUUGUAGAUUUGUAGUUUCUGUAUGCUGGUACCACGGCCAUCGUGCACAGUAUUGUAUGAGUCUCUCACCCUAAUUUGCCGCGUUUUUUUAUUGUGUUAAUCUUCUUUCAAGAUAUUGGUUAUUAAACUGGUAGCGUGCCGUGUACGGUGUAUGUGCGUGCCUGCGAAUUUUGUGCUUCGAUUAUUACGACCGCCCAAUACUUGAACAGUACUUUUGCUGUUUCAUUUAGAUUACCUGCUGGAAAAAUGGGCGGU